CUAGAACCAACACUUAGGAAAAAAAAUGUAACAUUUCCCUUUGUUAUAUUCUUUGGACUUUGGAGACGGAAAAAAAAAAGUUUCGACCCGAAAAAAAAAACUUCGCAAUCUCUUCUCCUCUCUUCCACCGUUUCCCCCGCCGUAACCUACGAUUCGCCUUAGCCACUCUACGUCAUGGUCUUCUCAUCUCUCCGGGCCGCCAACACUUCCUCCGGCCACAAAAUCACCGUCGGAAGCUUCCUCGACGAUUAAUACAACCGCAUCGACAUCCUCUCUUUCGAUUCCGAUUCGAUGACCGUGAAGCCUCUCUCGAAUCUCUCCUUCGAGCAUCCUUAUCCUCCAACGAAGCUAAUGUGCAAUCCUUCUUCUCUCCGUCGUCCUUCAUCCGGAGAUCUACUCGAUUCUUCUACCAUUGAGCAUUGAGUCUAUCUCGGUUCUCAACAAUAGCAAAACGAGCCUACUCUUCACAAGACGACCACAUUGAACUUUGAUGCUUCUGGUCCUUUUGUGGUUUCAGAAUCAAUUCCUAUCCCUUUUAUCUCGAUCUCCAAUCUCAUAUUGAAAUUGUUAUCAAAUCAUGUGUUUCUAAUAGCUGAUAAUCUGAAUUCAUUGGAUGUUGGACCAGAACAUUCAUAAUUGGUCCUUGUUGCAAAUAGUGUAUCUGAUUUUAAACAUUCAUUUUUGGUCCUUGUUAAAAUUUUCUUAGAUUGGCAACUAAGAAAAAUUUGCAGGUCUGCUAAACUAUUGUAGUUUAGCUGUGCUUGUUUGUUUUUAGCUGCUAUGUUGAAGAGAUAUUCACUUCUCUCUCAGGAACCACAGGAAGAGUCUAAGCCUCUCUCACAUGCGUUAAGAGAAGACAGAACAUCCCAUGUGCGUUUAUGAGCAGCUCCACCGUCCUAAAAGCUGGAAUCAAUCACAAAGUUAUUAACUUUAUAGUCUCUUAUUUGAAGUUGCUACUUUUGGGACUGUAAGUCGUCCUGUAUUAUGGUGAGGCUGAGUUUAUCAAUAAACUGGAGAUGGUGAGUAUUGAUGGCUGCAAGAAAGGUCAAGUUCAGUUUAUUUCAGUUUCCAUUGGGUGGUAUUCACAGGCAACUCAAGUGCACAUGGUAGAGUUGGUGCCAUCGCUGCCGUUUGCUACUUCAAUCCUUGAGUUCUUGACUACAGAUGUUCUUGAGUUAGCUGGAAACGCUAGCAAAUAUCUGAAAGUGGAGAGUAUAACUCCAUAGCAUUUGUAGUUGGUCACGAGAGGAUGUGGGAAUGAUAAGUUUAAGACAUGAUUUUGUGUUUUUGUUUAUGACUUGGUUUGAUGGUUACAUGUUCUCUUCUAGAGUUCAUGUUUGUAGUUCACUUUGUAUGUUUUAUUAAUCGAAAAAAAUUUAUAAUU